rnacentral:rRNA from 1 species
UACGGAGGGUGCAAGCGUUAUCCGGAUUUAUUGGGUUUAAAGGGUCCGUAGGCGGGCCCGUAAGUCAGUGGUGAAAUCUCGCAGCUUAACUGUGAAACUGCCAUUGAUACUGCGGGUCUUGAGUAAAUUUGAAGUGGCUGGAAUAAGUAGUGUAGCGGUGAAAUGCAUAGAUAUUACUUAGAACACCAAUUGCGAAGGCAGGUCACUAAGAUUUAACUGACGCUGAUGGACGAAAGCGUGGGGAGCGAACAGG